AUGCCACGCGUCCGACCCGGCUCCUCCUCCGGCACCGUCUCCUCACACGCCAACCAGCUGCUAAACAAGCUCAAGGAUCAUGUCGGCUCUGGGACACUCCAGCCGGAGCGCGCACACCAACUGUUUGACAAAUUGCUGCGCCAAGCUGUUCCCAUAUCUGCGUGCGCACUCAAUGGCUUAUUUGCCGCCCUCGCGCGUGCGCUGCCCUCCGCUGCCUGCACCGACGGCCCUGCUCUAGCCAUUGCUCUCUUCAACCGCAUGGCUCGAGAGGGCCGCUGGGUGAUAGCGCCCAACAUGUACACCUACACCAUACUAAUUGACUGCAGCUGCCGCUCGCGCCGCCCUGACCUAGGGCCCGCCUUCUUCGGCCGCCUCCUCAAGACAGGCAUCACGGCGGACGUCUGCACCUUCAGCAGCUUAUUCAAGUGCCUCUGUGACAUGAAGCGGAUAGACGAGGCUGUGGGAGUGCUGCUUCACAGGAUGCCCGGAGACAUGCCUGAUGUCAUCUCCUACUCAACAAUCCUCAAGGGCUUCUGCAACGAGGGGAGGAGCCAGCUUGCACUUGAUCUGCUCCAGAUGAUGGUCAAAAAAGGAGCUGGCCAGUCACCCGACGUGGUAUCAUACAACAUGCGGGGGUUCGUGCCUGAUGUGGGGACAUAUAAUUCCAUUAUUGAUGCAAUGUGCAAAGCAAGAGCAAUGGACAAGGCAAAAUUGGUCCUUCGACAAAUGGUUGAUAGUGGGGUUCGACCGGAUAUUGUGACAUAUAAUAAACUGAUUCAUGGAUAUUCCAUUUCGGGCCAGUUUGAAGAGGUCGUUACGUUGUUGGAAAAAAUGAGAAGUCAAGGUGUCAAACCAACUGUUUUUACUUGCAACACAGUCAUGGACUACCUUUGCAAGCAUGGAAGAAUCAAAGAAGCUGCAGAAUUUUUUUAUUCCAUGGUUGAGAAGGGCCAUAAACCUAAUAUAGUCUCAUAUGCUAUUAUGCUUCAUGGGUACGCUAAAGAAGGAUCCCUUGUUGAAAUGACUGAUCUCUGUGAGCUGAUGGCAAGAGAUGGUAUUGUAUCCUAUCUCCAUUGUUUCAACAUACUGAUUAAUGCAUAUGCUAAGUGUGGAAUGAUGGAUGUGGCUAUUCUUUUCUUCAAAGACAUGUUGAAGCAGGGAGUGAACCCUGAUGAAGUCACAUAUUUAGCAGUGAUAGCUGGGUAUUGCAGAGUGGGCAUGAUGGAUGAUGCUAUGGAAAAAUUCAAUGAGAUGAUCGGUAUGGGAGUACCACAUAAUGCAACUGUUUACAGGUGCAUGAUUCAGGGUUACUUAAAUCAUGGUGAUUUCUUGAAAGCAAAGGAAUUGAUUACUGAAAUGAAGACCAAGGGUAUCCAUCCUAGACUGUCGAAAAGCCAAGGAAUUGAUCCAGGGUACCUCAUGAGUCAACUGUUUCCAGGUGCAUGA
rnacentral:rRNA from 1 species